UACGGAGGGUGCGAGCGUUGUCCGGAAUCACUGGGCGUAAAGGGCGCGUAGGUGUCGCAGGAAGUCAACGGUGAAAGUUCGGGGCUCAACCCUGAAUCGGCCGUCGAUACUCCUGGGCUCGAGCACUGUAGAGGCAGAUGGAAUUCCGGGUGUAGCGGUGGAAUGCGUAGAGAUCCGGAAGAACACCGGUGGCGAAGGCGGUCUGCUGGGCAGUUGCUGACACUGAGGCGCGACAGCGUGGGGAGCAAACAGG
rnacentral:rRNA from 1 species